ensembl:lncRNA CASC9 cancer susceptibility 9
CAGAGGUAAAAGGGUGCUGCUUCUGUGAUUACAUUGCACAAGAUUUUAACUUCCAUCUUGCGAGAAAACUCUCUAUUGACUUCUUCCCCAGUUGUCUUUGAUAACGUAAGUCACCGUAUCGCAAGGCCCUUUGGCAAGGAAGUGAGAGCGGCCUCCUCAUAAUAGUCAGCAAGAAACUAAGGCCCUCAGCUCAACAGCCUGCAAGGAAGCAAGCCCAGCCCACAACCCUGUGAGCUUCAAAGUGGAUUCUUCUUCAGUCAGGCUUCCAGAUGACAGCCUAGCCCUUGAUCGCAGUCUGUGACAGACACUGAAGCAAAGCAUCCAACUAAACUGUGUCUGGAUUCUUGUCCCACUGGAGUUAAAAUAAUAAAUUUGCAUUAUUUAAA